GGGAAUUCAGCUGAUGAGCAUGAUUUGUGCUUGGGCAUAUUGACCGCCUUUCAGUGUCUGCUUAACUGCGGGUGCCUGCCUCUGGUGGGUAUGUGUGGUGCGCUUAUCAUGUGCCGCACGCAUUGGAGGGUGUAUGAGUCUGCUUGUCGGUGCACUUUCUCAGGGUGUUCUCCACGACCGGCACUGCUGUCUGUCUGCUUUGGUCAAACUGAUCAGGUCUGAUUAACGUUGGGCUUGGUUGGGUUGGCAGGUGACUCACUGGUCCACUCUGUGGGCUAUGAGUGUUACUAGCCGGCUAUAGUGGAUCUGUACGGUGUGUCGGAGACGGCGGCUUUGCAUAUGCGCUCUGUCCUUCAGGCGUGGUUGAGUCUGGUCGACUUGUUGCUAGUUUCGGCUGGUCAGUUGAUGGCUUGAUCAUGUUCAGUUGGCAGUGGUGUGUGUGUCUUAGUUUGGGCCAAUAGUCUGUGGUGUUGUGGUAGACUAUCCACCUGACCCGUCUUGAAACACGGACCAAGGAGUUUAACAUGUGCGCGAGUCAUUGGGCUUUACGAAACCCAAAGGCGCAGUGAAGGUAAAGGUUUGGCUUGUCCAGGCUGAGGUGAGAUCCUGUUGUUUUGCUCAUUAAUUCCAAGCUGCGAGCAGCAGGCGCAUCACCGGCCCGUCCCAUGACGUAGACAUGUGGCCUUGUGCUAUGUGCACCGUCGGGGCGGAGCAAGAGCGUACAUGUUGAGACCCGAAAGAUGGUGAACUAUGCUUGCGAAGGUGGAAGCCAGAGCAAACUCUGGUGGAGGACCGUAGCGAU
rnacentral:rRNA from 1 species